rnacentral:lncRNA from 1 species
AGUUUUGAUAAUUAGGCUAGAAACAAAGUUGGCAUUUACAAGAAAACAUGAAAAUUGUCUAUUUAUGAGGCAACAGAACUUGAUCAAUCGACUACUUUGUCUGUGUAGUUAAUGACAUUUGCUUAUAUUCUUGAACUGAUCUCUCUACCUUUUAUCUUACUGUUUUCUUGAGAAUUAUCAAACUAGCCUUGUUAUUUGUGACAAAACAAUGCAAAUCCACUAUGUGGUCGAGGCCCC